CAUAUUUCAACAUUCUAUAAAUAAAGCGCUGAUAAGAUUCGCUUGGAAUGAAGCUUAUAUAGAAUGAGGAAUUGGUCAAGAAAGUAACAAUGCUGGAGACUAUUAAAACACUUGUGAUAUCUUAUGAUGUUCUUUUCUACAUUUUUCUGUCACGUGCUGUGUAUUUAUUGAUAUACUCCACUAAUGAAAAUAUUGUGGAAAAUAAAAUUGUCUUGGACAGACUCGAUCCAGACUACCUAACGAAAAAGGAAUUGUUUUCCCUUCUGGAUAUUCGCGGAGAAGUCUAUCGACGUAGUGCAGAUCGAAGUCGACUUGUAACAUUAGCCAAAUCAAAAGUUGACGUAGAAGAAAGUGAGCCUCCAAUAUUAGCUGAUCUAGAAUCACUAACCAUAUCUGAUCUAAAACAACUGCUAGAUCAAAGAGGCAUAAUGUAUUACAGUAAGUCAACAAAACCAGACUUAAUUGGAUCCGUAAAUAUAUCAGGACCAGUAACUACAGAGGCUUUAACCCACAUGAAACAAGCUGGAGAACCAAAGAUUGGACAAGUCCAUGAAUUCAAUGCCUUCAACUUCAUGAAUACUUUAGAUAGGUACAACUAUAGUAUAUUUCUCUUAAAUAUAUUGCCGCCGAGAAUAAAAUCUUCAUAUUUCAACGAAUCGUCAUGGAAUGCUCUUAGACGAAAACUUACAUACAUGGACUUCAAAUUCGGAGAACUUGACUGUGAUUUUGAAAAAAGGUAAAACCUUACAAUGCUCUAACAUUACAAACUCGAAGGGCUGACUGACGUAUAGAAUAAUGGUCAUCCCGUGGAUAUCUCCAAUCAGCAUUUGCCUGAAAAAGAAAUGGAAUAUAUCGACACUUUUUCUAUAUACUCCAGGGAAAAAAAUCCACCGAGAAUAUCAUAUAAGAGAUGACUACAAUCUUCAUAUUAUAUUUUCAGAUAUUCAAAAAGAAAUAAAUUAUAAAAUUACACUUAUUUCGUCAUGGGACAUAUUUACGUCAUCAAAAUGGGCCUUUUAUUAUGGUCCUAAAGAUAAAAUUGCCGUAAGAAUAAUUCUUUUUACAAAUAUGACGGUACCGCCCAUGUUUUUGUCCUCAUUAAGCGUUAAAUACCGUGAUAAAGUAAAUUUUGGAAUGGUCAACAUGGCGUCCAAUAAAGGAAGGAGUAUCCUAAAAAAAUUAAAACAGAAAUACUGGCCACUGUGCUUAGUCGUAACAAAACAAGGAAUAUUAACCUACGGAAAGUUACCAGGAGAAUAUUUUACAUAUCGGGAACUGGAUUUCUUUCUUUCUAAUUUACUACAAGAUUUUCAGCCUACAGAAAAAUGGUAUUACAAAUUAUCAAUUUUUCUAGAUCCAACAGUGAUAGGGCUACUCAUUGUUCGGUUCGUAGCAAGAUAUCUGAUAUCGAGAAUGUCGUGUAAGAAAGAGGAAAAAAUCAAAAGCAACCAUGAUGGUGUACAAAAUAUUGAUAAUGAUUCAAUGGAGAGUAGAAUACACGAAGCAAGUCAAUCACAUAUUAUUGACCAACAAGUUGGUGAAUUAUUAUUAGCAGAGUUACUACGCAGGAGAAACAACGAACAGUAGAAUACACCAGAAUCUCUAAAAAUAAACAAGCACCAUUUUACGUUAAGUUUUGUAUAUGAUCAGUCUAUGUUAUGUCACUAAUUAUUUUGAGAGAGAGAGAGAGAGAGAGAGAGAGAGAGAGAGAGAGAGAGAGAGUUUGAUUUCAGCUAUUUCAGAUUUCAGCUUUUUCAGAUUGUUUUCUAAACAUCGAAAACCGUUUAAAAAUUUAACCGUAUAUAAUAAUGCAAAGAGAGGAUUGAAACUAAAACAACACUUUUAAAAAGCACCUUUCUUGUUAUUUUAAAGUUUUCAUAUUUAAACAAGUUGAAAAGGACAAGAUGUUAAAAAUAAAUUACAUAACUAAGCUAUAUUCCAGGUCUUCAUGCUAGUUGUGUCGAGCUGAUGAGACAAACCAUUUCCAACCGAUUUUAACAGUUUGUUCUUAUGCUAAACUAGCCUCAUUCUAAAUGUGAUUAUCCUAAGCCUGGAAUCUGUAAUUCAGUGGUUGUCGUUGGGUGCUGUCCGUUAUAUCUGUUAUGUGUUUAUCGUUUUGUCAUAAAUCAAGCAGUUGUUAUUUUGUCUGAAUUGUUUCACUUUUGUAAUGUAGCGGCCUUUUAUAGCUGACUAUAUGGUACGGUUUUUUCUGAUUAUUUAAGUCCGCACUGUAACCUUUUAUUGCCUACUAUAAGUCCAGGUUAUUUGUUUAAUCCUUAUAAUUCUCAACCCAAACAUUUUUUUUGUUUGUCUAUUGACCGUCAAAUCCACAAUUGACUUGUCUUAACUUUGGAGAGAGCCGCCAUGUUGACUUGCUAAAAUAAAUAAAUGUGCGAAAUAUGCAAUAGAAUAGACAUGUUUUCAAAUAACGUGUAUGCGCCAAAAGCAUUUAUGAAUUUUAUUUCACCUUUAUUUUGUAGAUUUUUCCAAGCUCUUGGACUAAUGCAUUACUUAUUUUUGUUAUGCAUUAGAAUAAGAAUAACAGUUCAGAAGUUUUUUUUCAAUUUAGAUUUAAACACAGCUAAAUUGACAUAGACUUUGCAUAUAGGUUACCACGCAUGUGGAUUUACUAGGGAGGUUAAUUGUAAUAGUCAUUAAUAUGUACAUCCCUGAGUCUGCGCUAAUAACAUUAACGGUACCAAUUGUAAUACACCAGAAGGGUAUUUCGACAAUAAAUGUGUCUUCAGUGAUGCUCGAGGGCAAACUAUUUGACACACCAAAUCUUAUACAAACGUUGAAGAGCUAGUCAAACAAAAAAGGACCUAACGUAUAGCCAAAUCUGGACAAGGAAUCAGGGCUCUGCAUAAGGGAGUUAUAUUCCUAAAUUUUAAAUGAUUAUAUUAAUAACCUUGAAAAAAUUAGAAAGACUCAAAUUAAAUAGUAUCACGUCUGGGGAGGUUGAAAAUAAGAUAUCAGAAAUAGAAUCACUAAUUAAAAAACUAGUAUGAGAACAAAUCAGAGGCGUAAAAAAAUAGGGCGAGUGUUAAGAGCAAUUCUCUGUAACCACCAACCAUUUCAUAUAGGGGGGUCGGCACGCAUAGUCACCGAUUUCCCUGCCACUUAGCCUUAACAAGUAAUCAGGUAAAAAAGUAAGAAAUUAAAUUUCCCACCAAAAUGUUGCUAGGCCAUGGUUGCCAUGUCAACCAAGUCAAUGAGCUUUCCCGUACAUUUUAGGGAAUUUAGCAUUGAAAAAAAACAACUACUUUGCAGUCAUUUGGAAGCAAAACCAGAUUUUAUAUAAGGAUAUUUGUUAAUAUUUUUCAGAAAGUUGAUAGUUAACAAACAAAACAGCAAUGUCAUAUAUAAAAAAUAUUUUUCUGAAAAUUGUCACAAUUGCAGGAGCAGAGGUCAAAAUAUACAUUUUUGCAUACAACUCCAUUUAAGCUGUGGUUAUAAAUAAAAAGUAUCAAUGUUUCUAGUCAAUAAAUUAUAACAAAAUGUUUGGGAUUUAGGGUGCUAGGAUGGUUGCUAUGGAAACCAAAAUGUGUCAAUUUUGCCUUUUUACCUUUGAAAUUCGACCAUGUUAUUAAGAUAAUCCCAAAAAGUCAUAACUAUUGAAUGACUAUGAUGUGCAAACUAUUGGCAAUUAAAUUACAAAAAAUUUGACCCAAGGUCAAAUGUCAUUGAUGACCUUGACCUUUGACCUUGUGUAUAUUAAUUGAAUUUUGUAAGAAAAGAUAAUAGAAAGAAGCAAACAAUAUAAGGGGGAAAUGUUUAGGACGUUUAAAGCCACUUUUUUGUUAACAGAUCAACAUUUAGAAGAGGUAAGGUCAAGUCAAAAGUGCUUAGCAACCAACCGUAUUUGAUGAAAAAGUACCUAGUAACGAUACAUGUUUUGAUUCAGGACUAUAUAAACUAUUACAUAGACCCUACCUUAAAGGUCAAGGGGGAAUGCUCUCACAUAAGUCCUAAGCAAUCAUUCAUUCAUAGUGGAAAAGUGCAUAGCAACCAUUUAUUUAUAUUGGAAAACUGCCUACCAACCAUUUAUUUACAUUGGAAAACUGCCUAGAAACUAUAUAUUUUCGGUUUCAUUGGGACAACAAUCAGACAAAAAUUAAUAUUAAACAUGCAGUUUGUCUUAAAAUUAAUAACUCCUUUAAAUAACACAUGUAUAAUCCAGAAUAGUAAAUUAUAUGGCAAAUUCAAUCUCAAGGGAUUGAAUACAAAUUCAAAUACAAAAAUUAAAAGAUGUGUAUGAUUGCCAAUGAGACAACUCUCCAUAAGAGAUCGAAGGUUAUUUUUGAGACCAGUCCUUUGAAACUACAAGAACGAGACAAAAGGAACAAAAUCGCUAAGAGAACGACAAAUUCAUUUCUUUGGUUGGGGUUGGGCUUUCGGCCAAAGGUUUUGCAUAAACAGAAUAAUCAUUUUCACCCGUCAUAAGGCUGGUUUACUUAUUUCAUUCUUUUUUUCGGCGACAAAAAUAAAUUAUUUUUCAUCGUGUACACACCUAUUCCUAUUUCAAAUCGUAUGUGGCUGAUGUACAUCUGAAUGUACAGAACAUUCCUUAUCAGAAUGUCUUGGGCAAUAUUAAUGAUCUUCAAUUCUAGACACCAUCACAUUCAUUUCAUUUAGCAUCUCUUAUCCCCAUCACAAAAUAUAAAAUGGUCCGACCUAGCCAAUAGAACUACUCUGAAUCCGCUCAAUUGCUAAAUAUUUGUAUUAUGUGGAUAAUUAAAAAAAAAAAAAAACUUUCUUAAAAAAAAUACAUUGUGUGUUCUGCAAAAUUUAAUUUUUUAGCUCGCCUGGCCCACAGGGCCAAGUGAGAUUUUCUCAUUAUAUUACGUCUGUCGUCGUUAACUUUUACAAAAAUCUUCUCCUCUGAAACUAUUUGGACAAAUAUGUCCCAAAAUGGUUGACAUGGCUGAAAAUAGAACAUGCAAGUUUUGUCUAUUAUCAUGAAAACUAUUAUAAAUAGAGAAAAAUUUAACUUGGUUGAAAUCGUCAGCUGAUUCUUUAUUGGACUUAUUGCCCUUUAAUGACGAUAUCUAUUUUUUUUUUGCCUGAUGCAAAAUAUAUCAUAAUAAAAAGAAAGAAACUAAAUUACAAAAAUUAUCAGCAAGACAAGAUUACAAAUAAGUCAGCAUGGUUGAAUUCGUCUGACGAUCCCUUAUUAGAGCUAUUUCCCUUUAAUGACGAUUUUGGUUAACAGUACUCAUUUAGUGUUAACAUAUCUUAAUAAAGAAUUUGCUAUGUAUAGCUACAAGAGUAAAUACAUAAGAAAUAUACAAGUAAUUUAAUAAUUGGGAUAAAGAAACAAGAGCAGUGCUGUUAUUUAAAUCCGUCUCCAUUAGUAGUCAUUUAAGGGCAAAACGCCUAUAUGGAGUCAAAAGACAAUUCGGCCAUGUUGAAUGUGACCUACCGAAUUAGAUUUUUUACCGGGUUUGUACUAACAUGAGCAACACGACGGAUAUGGAGCAGGAUCUACUUACCUUUCCGGAGCACUUGAGAUCACUCCCAGUUUUUGGUGGGGUUCGUGUUGCUCAGUCUUAAGUUUUCUAUGUUGUGUUUUGUGUAUUAUUAUUUGUCUGUGUCUUUUUCUUUUUUAGCCAUGGCGUUGUCAGUUUAUUUUCGACUUAUGAGUUUGGAUGUUCCUUUGGUAUCUUUCGCCUCUCUUGUAUAGAUCUCCUUUAUUCAAUACAUAUACGUUUUUGUACAACACAUUCACUAAUUUAUUAAUUAAGAUAUCAUACAGAUACAUGUUAAAUACCUCAUACUAGUAUGUACAUGUAAUAAACGUGUUAAAAUCUGA